rnacentral:lncRNA from 1 species
ACUCCGGGAGGCUGCGGGAACUGAAGGUCCCAAAGCUGGUGGCCACGGGAACACCGGAGGGGCUCGGGGCUGGGACUCUCGGUGUUGUUUACACUUGGCGUAGUUAGCCUGGCAGGCCCGAGAGGCUCCGGCUCCGACACGCGGCGGUGGCUCCCAGCGCGCGGGGUCUCUGCUCCCGGCCUCCCCACCCACAACCCGCGCCCGGCCCGGCCCUCCGCGCCCCGCCGCUCACGUCUCGGAAGCGGUUCCAGUGCUUAAUCUUGCCGCUGUACUGCGAGAUGGACGACAGCCAUUGCUCGUCCUCCAUGAAAUUGCCGGGGGUCUCGCCCUCCUUGAGCCCCUUGGCGUCGCCUUCAGCCAAGGCGACCACGGCGAGGAGCAGCAGCGGCAGAGCCAGCCGCCCGGAGCCUGGAGCGCGCAUCGUGGUCUGGGCUUGGACCUGGGGGGGUCUGGACUUCAGCAGGAUUUGAUGUCCUUCCCUCCACCGCGCCACUGGCGAAGCGCUGCGGUCCUCCUCAGCCCUCCUCCUGCUGUCUGACUCCAGUGACUGACGGAGGGUGGGUCGUGGCUGAAAUGUGACCUGGUUAGCAGAUGCACUUGUCUGAAAAAGCCCAGCGCUGGACGCGGAGAGGGAGAGAGAUUCAGAGAGGCUGCGCCAGCGGGGGCUGUGUCUGUAACUGUAGCAUCAGCAUCACGUUUGACAUCAUCAUACCUGGUUAAAAAAAAAAAAAAAAAAAAAAAAAAAGGAGGGGGUAGAUUUCAAAGCAGAGCGCUGGAUCAGAGCAGCCAAGCCAGCCAAGCCGCAGCGCAGGGCUGCGCAAGUCAGUCCAGCUCUCAAGGAGUUGCAAGCCAGGGAAGCAGAACCCUGAGAUGUCCCUGCUGUCUAUCUAAGGGUGGACAGCAAAGAAGGGCUCCGGGGUCUUUCAUAGGGCUGGAAAGAGGAUGAAAACUCUCGGGUUACCAAGUCAGCUGGGCUCAGGUGUCUAAAAGGGAAUCUGGCCACAGACAGUUUCUUCUCCCUUGGCCUCCUCCCACCCCACACCCCACACCCCCGAGUGGCCUGUGCCACCGCUCUGACAGCUGGCUCCCCGCGAGUUAUGGCGCUUCGGUAAUGGGUGGCUUCCUUAAGACAAAGGCGGUCUAACAACUGGCUGCCUCUGAACUAUUGCUCCCCCUGGCCCGCCGCUCUUUUCAACGCAUGGCCCCAACCCUGAAUGGCUGGUGAAACAUGGGCAGAUGUCCUCCUCUUCCGCAAGCAGAUGUUUAGGGGCUGUCACCCUUUUGUUAGCUUUUCCUAGGGCAACCCUAAAAGACACAUGCGUGUCUAGCCAUCUCAUCUGCCUUGAGUCUGCAAAUCUAAAUGGGCCCAGCCAUUUGCUUGUGACUUUGACUUCAUGUUGAGUUUGAUGAUGCACUGGGGAAGGAGACAAGGCGGGAGGAGGCGGGUUCUGUUGGAGGCUGUUAGGUUCUUGUUAAAACUGUGACCCUUGUCAUUGCCUAUAGACCUGUGCUGCCUUACCAGCUGGGAAGGCUGGCAGCUGGGCACAGACCCAGGAUCAGAACAGAACUGAAAUUUACAUUACAAAUAAAAUGAAGACUACGAAAAGGGCAAACCAUAUUAAACUUUUGGGCCCCAAGCCCUAGAUUGUGUUUUUAUAAAAGACUUGGCUGCUGUGAUGUUAAAAUAAAAUAAAAUAAAAUAAAAUAAAAAUUAAAGGCAAUGAAAGAACAUGAUCUUAAUCAAUAGGAAAAAACACAGGUUGUGAGGGUUACAGUCAUCCAGGGCCUGGCAUGCCUCCUGAGUGUUGGGUGCCUCAGUAGCCUGGGCUGGGUGGGGACCCCUGGGAAAACACAAAACAAUAGUUUCCCUUCCUGUGGUGCUGCUGCAAGCUCCAGAUACUGACAUCUGCAUCUCACAAUGGAUGCAGAGCCCUCCAGGCGGUACCAGGGAGCUUCACAGUGGAGUCCUUCUCAUACGGACUGGAGGGGACUGAGGAUCCCAACUUCCAUAUAGAGUGUCAUUCUAACGCCACACAUAUAUAGCAUGCGAUGGCUAUGAAACUUGAGCAGAGUUAUCCCAGGCAUUUCAAAAGCAAAAGAGUUUGUCCCUUGGGUUGGAGAGGUGAUAAUCCAUCUUCAUCAUCUUUCCCACAUCUUUUUUUUUUAUGAUUUAUUUAUUGCAUUAUGAGUGUACACUGUCGCUGUCUUCAGACACACCAGAAGACACACAGAUGGUUGUGAGCCACCAUGUGGUUGCUGGGAUUUGAACUCAGGACCUCUGGAAGAGCAGCCAGUGCUCUUAACCACUGAGCCAUCUCUCAGGGCCUCCCCCAUCUUCUUAGUCCCAGUCUUUUUAGUUCAGACAGGGUCUCCAACUUGAUAUGUAGCUUGAGGGUGACCUUUCGAUUUAUCUUCCUGUCUCCAGCUCUCAGGUGCUUCCUGGGACAUCCAACCCAGGCCUCCAUCCAGGUAGGAGAGCCACAGGCCCCCUCAAUCCUAGUCAAAGCUAUCCACAAUGUCUCCACAGCACUUAGCAGACAGCUUCGAUGCACAAAGGGUCUGGUUACCAGAGCAGCUUAACAAGAGUGUGGAAAGCAACCCAAUGCCGUUCAGGAACUGCAGCUGCCUUCCCAUGUAGGUCGGAACAUUUUCCACACAGGGGCAGCUCAUCCGAGGGGACCUGCUUUUUAUAACACCACAACCAGAGACAUUCGGCUAGUGUUGAGGGAGAAGCUAGUUAGGAGGAAGAAUCCAAAAAUGGCGAGACUAAGAAUUAUGCAAAAUAACUCAGAACCUGGUUUAUAAAGAAAAAAAAAAGGCUUUUCUUCCAGAGAAUUAUUGGCAGGUCAGCCUUUCCACACCAUGGGCCCCAAAUAUGACAUACUGCUGGACUUACUGUUAAAUCAUGUGUAUCUGUAUGUCUUCUACAUUUUCUGUUGCAUUUAAUAUUUAUCAAUACAAAAUGGAGAGCCUUCAUUUUCUAAUAUAAAUACCCAAUCUGUCUCCCAUCAUUCUCAUUUCUAGAUGUUCUAAGUUCGAAAAGAUAAUUGCACAAAGAUACUUCAAAAUUGUUCAUACCAAGCAUAUCUAGAUCAUCUGUGAUGUUUGUUCUUGGUUGUCAACUUGACUACAUUUGGAACUAACUGAAACCCCAGCGGCUGGAUACAGCUAUAAAUGAUUUUUUUUCCCCUUUUUGUAAUUAAAUCAUUUGAAGUGACAAGAACGACUUUUUAUCUGGAUCUUUUGAGGUGGGAAGACACAACUUUAAUCUGGCCCACACCCUCUGGGCCCUCUAUCUAAAGGACCCAGAAGAAGGAAGCUUUUGACCUUUGCCUGCUUGUCCUUGCUCUCACUGGCAAGUCCAUUCCAUCACUGGCUUUAGAGCUGACUUCUUUGGGAUUCUGGUGUGUACUCAAGACCAGCUGAGACAUCCUGCCUUGUCAACUGAACUACUGGACUCUUGGAUUUUUUUCAUUGGUAGACAGCUAUUGUUGGAUAUAGCUGUAAGCCUGCAAGCCAUUCUAAUAAAUCCCAUGUAUAUUCU